GAAUUUGUGAGUUUCACUGCUCCUUGCCAAGAAUGUUUCAGAUGCUGUCAUUGAAAAGCUGGUUCAAAGUCUUGGAUGAACUCACAUGAGCAAACAGCACCAGAACACCAGGACUAAGAUAUAUUCUCAUAAGAGAAAAAACAAUCACAACAUCAUGAACACAAUUGGUACGUUUCAACUGUGGAGAGAACAAGUUAAGAAAGAUUUUGAAAGAAUGGCUGGAACACAAGAGCACAGCUAUGAGCUGGGAGAUCUGCUGUUAAGAGAAACAGAUUAUGGGGCUUAUCAUGCAGGCGUUUUUUGUGGAUUUAAUGAAGUCAUCGACUUUACAGGUUCUGAACGCAAAAUGCAAAGUGUCUUAAAAUCAGAUGUACACGAAUUUGGCACUGUUUCGAAAAAAAGCCUGAAGCACUUUAAGUGUGGAAAGAGUGUUGAAGUGUAUCGCCUCAGAGCAAAGGAAAAAUUCCCCAAAUCUUUUCCUAAAAAUGUCCAGGAAGCAAUGGAUAAAUUUGUUAAAUAUCAUGUACUGAAAUUCAACUGCCUUCAUUUUGCCCUUUGUGUUCUGGAGGUAUUAGACUGGCAGGAUGAAAAAUUUUCAGCUACGACUGGAACUAAUAGUCAUGCUUCAGAUGGUUAUGAAGCUAUCAGCAUGGAUUACGUUAAAGAAGAAUGUCAAGUUUAGUAAUAAAACCAGAUACCAAAAAGUGGCA
ensembl:lncRNA